rnacentral:rRNA from 1 species
CUUGGUCAUUUAGAGGAAGUAAAAGUCAUAACAAGGUAUCUGUAGGUGAACCUGCAGAUGGAUCAUUA